rnacentral:rRNA from 1 species
AUACGGAGGAUCCGAGCGUUAUCCGGAUUUAUUGGGUUUAAAGGGUGCGCAGGCGGCCAUUUAAGUCAGCGGUUAAAUCGUGGGGCUCAACCCCAUUCUGCCGUUGAUACUGGGUGGCUUGAUUGCGGUCGAGGUUGGCGGAAUUCGUUGUGUAGCGGUGAAAUGCAUAGAUAUGACGAAGAACACCGAUUGCGUAGGCAGCUGACCAGACCGCAAAUGACGCUCAUGCACGAAAGUGCGGGGAUCGAACAGGAUUAGAUACCCCGGUAGUCCGCACAGUAAACGAUGAAUACUUGUUUUCGGCGAUAUAAUGUCGGAGGCAAAGCGAAAGCGAUAAGUAUUCCACCUGGGGAGUACGCCGGCAACGGUGAAACUCAAAGGAAUUGACGGGG